GGCGAGUGAAGCGGCAACAGCUCAAAUUUGAAAUCUGGCUCUUUUAGAGUCCGAGUUGUAAUUUGCAGAGGGCGCUUUGGCUUUGGCAGCGGUCCAAGUUCCUUGGAACAGGACGUCACAGAGGGUGAGAAUCCCGUACGUGGUCGCUGGCUAUUGCCGUGUAAAGCCCCUUCGACGAGUCGAGUUGUUUGGGAAUGCAGCUCUAAAUGGGAGGUACAUUUCUUCUAAAGCUAAAUAUUGGCCAGAGACCGAUAGCGCACAAGUAGAGUGAUCGAAAGAUGAAAAGCACUUUGGAAAGAGAGUCAAACAGCACGUGAAAUUGUUGAAAGGGAAGCGCUUGCAGCCAGACUUGCUUACAGUUGCUCAUCCGGGUUUCUACCCGGUGCACUCUUCUGUAGGCAGGCCAGCAUCAGUUUGGGCGGUAGGAUAAAGGUCUCUGUCACGUACCUCCUUUCGGGGAGGCCUUAUAGGGGAGACGA
rnacentral:rRNA from 1 species